rnacentral:rRNA from 1 species
AACGUAGGAGACAAACGUUAUCCGGAGUUACUGGGCGUAAAGGGCGUGUAGGUGGUUUCGUAAGUCUGGCGUGAAAUUUUUCGGCUUAACCGGGAAAGGUCGUCGGAUACUGCGGAACUAGAGGACGGUAGAGGCGUGUGGAAUUCCGGGUGUAGUGGUGAAAUGCGUAGAGAUCCGGAGGAACACCAGUGGCGGAGGCGACACGCUGGGCCGUACCUGACACUGAUGCGCGACAGCAUGGGGAGCAAACAGG